rnacentral:misc_RNA from 1 species
ACAAACUUGGUCAUUUAGAGGAAGUAAAAGUCGUAACAAGGUUUCCGUAGGUGAACCUGCGGAAGGAUCAUUAUUGAAUUAUGUUUCUGGACGGGCUGUAGCUGGCUCUUCGGAGCAUGUGCACGCCUGUUCGGACUUCAUCCUUCAUCCACCUGUGCACCUAUUGUAGUCUCUGGUUGGGUAGCGGUGAAGCGGUCAGCCUGUCAGCACCUGCUGGAUGUGAGGACUUGCAAUGCGAGAGCUUUGCUGUCCUUGCUUGGCCGUGGAGCCCGUUGCCUUGCUGGAUUCUAUGUUACUUCAUUAUACCCCGUCGAAUGUCUUUGAAUGUCUUUACAUGGGCUUGUAUGCCUAUGAAAAUUGUAAUACAACUUUCAGCAACGGAUCUCUUGGCUCUCGCAUCGAUGAAGAACGCAGC